UUUGAAAUGAGGUCGUUAUAAACAGUUUUGUAUAAAUAAGUUGUUUUGAAUAAGCGAUUUUUGAAAAUGAGGUCGUAAUAAGCUGUUUUGUAUAAAUAAGUUGUUUUGAAUAAGCGGUUUUUGAAAAUGAUGUCGUAUUAAGCUAUUUUGUAUAAAUAAGCUGUUUUGAAUAAGCUGUUUUUGAAAAAGAGAUCGUAUUAAGCUGUUUUGUAUAAAUAAGCUGUUUUUGAAAAAGAGGUCGUAAUAAGCUGUUUUGUAUAAAUAAGUUGUUUUGAUUAUGCGGUUUUUGAAAAUGAGGUCGUAAUAAGCUGUUUUAUAUAAAUAAGCUGUUUUGAAUAAGCUGUUUUAGUAAAAGAGAUUGUAUUAAGCUGUUUUGCAUAAUAAGUUGUUUUGAAUAAGCUUUUUUUGAAAAUGAGGUCAUAUUAAGCUGUUUUGUAUAAAUAAGUUGUUUUGAAUAAGCGAUUUUAAAAAAUGAGGUCAUAAUAAGCUGUUUUGUAUAAAUAAGCUGUUUUGAAUAAGCUGUUUUUGAAAAUGAUGUCGUAAUAAGCUGUUUUUUUAUAAAUAAGUUGUUUUGAAUAAGCGGUUUUUGAAAAUGAGGUCGUAAUAAGCUAUUUUGUAUAAAUAAGCUGUUUUGAAUAAGCUGUUUUUGAAAAAGAGAUCGUAUUAAGCUGUUUUGCAGAAAUAAGCUGUUUUGAAUAAGUUGUUUUGUAUAAAUAAGCUGUUUUGAACAAGUUGUUUUUUGAAAAGAGGUCGUAAUAAGCUGUUUUUUAUAGAUAAACUAUUUUCGAUAAGUUGUUUUUGAAAAAGAGAUUGUAUUAAGCUGUUUUUCUGAAAAGAGGUCAUAAUAAGUUGUUUUGUAUAAAUAAGCUAUUUUGAAUAAGUUGUAUUUUAAAAAAAGAUCGUAAUAAUUUGUUUUUCAUAAGAUAAGCUAUUUUUUAAAAAGAGGUCGUAAUAAGUUGUUUUGUAUAAGUGAUUGUAAUAAUUUUUUAUUUUUUUUUAUAAAUAAGUUGUUUUUUAAAAUAGAUCUUAAUAAUUUGUUUUUCAUGCGAUAAGUUGUUUUGAAUAAAUUAGAAGUUAAAUUACAAAGUAUAAGAAUGUAUUGAUUUUAAGAGGAAAAAGGGUAAAAUAGUAAAAUUAUAACAUAAGCCCUUCAUCUCCUUUCCUUGUUGGCUUUUUAACUCCCAAACAAGGGGAAGGUUUUCCCUCCUUUCUCCCUUCCCUCCCUUUCCUUCCCUUCCCCUCCUUAGCCUUUCCUUUCCUUCCCCUCAAAACUCGCAAACAAAGCCUUAAUUGCUUAUAUGAACCUUCAAGAAGAGACACAAUUCAUAGAAGUAUAUCUGAAUGUCGCUGUCUUUUGAAAAUAGUGACGUUUUUGCGGAAAUGAGAGCUUUGUGUUUAAAGGUAGGAAAGUAAAUAGGCAAGCAACAUAAAUUUAUUAAAGCAACCAGAGAAUAGUAACAAUGUCUGAUUACAGCCAACAGAACACUGUUUUUCAAGUUCAAACUUUGUUAGAGUAAUGUAGAAAGCUUAGCUUCUUAGUGAUUAAGGCUUUGUUUGCAAGUUUUGAGGGGAAGGAAAGGAAAGGUUAAGGAGGGGAAGGGAAGGAAAGGGAGGGAAGGGAGAAAGGAGGGAAAACCUUCCCCUUGUUUGGGGGUUAAAAAGCCAAUAAGGAAAGGAAAUUGAGGGCUUAUGUUAUAAUUUUACUAUUUUACCCUUUUUCCUCUUAAAAUCAAUACAUUGUUAUACUUCGUAAUUUAACUUCUAAUUUAUUCAAAACAAUUUAUCUCAUGAAAAACAAAUUAUCACGAUCUAUUUUUAAAAAACAACUUAUUUAUAAAAAAAAAAAAAAAAAACUUAUUACAAACACUUUUUAAAAACAACUUAUUUAUACAAAAAAAACUUAUUACGACCUCUUUUUAAAAAACAGCUUAUCUUAUGAAAAACGAAUAUUUACGAUAUUUUUUAAAAAAACAACUUAUUCAAAACAACUUAUUAUGACCUCUUUUAAAAUAAAACAUCUUAAUACGAUCUCUUAUUCAAAAACAACUUAUCUAAAACAACUUAUGUAUACAAAACAGCUUAUUACGACCUCUUUUCAAAAAACAACUUGUUCAAAACAGCUUAUUUAUACAAAACAACUUAUUACAAUCUCAUUUUCAAAAACAACUUAUUCAAAACAGCUUAUUUAUGCAAAACAGCUUAAUACGAUCUCUUUUUCAAAAACAGCUUAUUCAAAACAGCUUAUUUAAACAAAACAGCAUAUUACGACCUCAUUUUCAAAAACUGCUUAUUCAAAACAACUUAAUUAUACAAAACAGGCUUAAUAUGACCUCAUUUUGAAAAAAAACAGCUUAUUUAAAACAGCUUAUUACGACCUCAUUUUCAAAACAACUUAUUUAUACAAAACAGCUUAUUACGACCUCUUUUUCAAAAAACAGCUUAUUCAAAACAGCUUAUUUAUGCGAAACAGCUUAAUACGAUCUCUUUUUCGAAAACAACUUAUUCAAAAUAGCUUAUUUAUACAAAACAGCUUAUUCCGACUUUUUUUUUCAAGAACCGCUUAUUCAAAACAACUUAUUUAUACAAAACAGCUUAUUAAGACCUCAUUUUCAAAAACAGCUUAUUUAUAUAAAACAGCUUCAUACGACCUCAUUUUUAAAAACCUCUUAUUCAAAACAACUUAUUUAAUCACAACAGCUUAUUACGACAUCAUUUUCAAAAAUCGCUUAUUCACAACAACUUAUUUAUAUAAAACUGCUUAUUAUGACCUCAUUUUCAAAAACCUCUUAUUCAAAACAACUUAUUUAUCCAAAGGGAGAUCGUAAUAAGUUGUGUUGUAUAAAUAAGUUGUUUUGAAUAAGCGAUUUUUUGAAAAGGAGUUCGUAAUAAGCUGUGUUGUAUAAAUAAGUUGUUUUGAAUAAGCGGUUUUUGAAAACAAGGUCAUAAUAAGUUGUUUUUUUUAUAAAUAAGUUGUUUUGAAUAAGCUGUUUUUGAAAAAGAGAUCGUAUUAUGCAGUUUUGCUUAAAUAAGUUGUUUUUAAAAAUGAGGUUGUAAUAAGUUGUUUUUUAUAAAUAAGGUGUUUUGAAUAAGCGGUUUUUGAAAAUGAGGUCGUAACAAGCUGUUUUGAAAAAGAGAUCAUAUUAAGAUGUUUUGCAUAAAUAAGUUGUUUUGAAUAAGCGAUUUUUGAAAAUGAGGUCGUAAUAAGCUGUUUUGUAUAAAUAAGUUGUUUUGAAUAAGUGGUUUUUAAAAAAUGAGGUCGUAAUAAGCUGUUUUGUAUAAAUAAGUUGUUUUAAAUAUGCGGCUUUUAAAAAAUGAGGUCGUAAUAAGCUGUUUUGUAUAAAUAAGCUGUUUUGAAUGAGCUGUUUUUGAAAAAGAUAUCGUAUUAAGCUGUUUUGCAUAAAUAAGCUGUUUUUGAAAAUGAGGUCGUAAUAAGUUGUUUUGUAUAAAUAAGUUGUUUUUAAUAAGAGGUUUUUGAAAAUGAGGUCGUAAUAAGCUGUUUUUAAUAAGCUGUUUUUGAAAAAGAUAUCGUAUUAAGCUGUUUUGCAUAAAUAAGUUGUUUUGAAUAAGCUGUUUUUGAAAAUGAGGUCGUAAUAAGCUGUUUUGUAUAAAUAAGCUGUUUUGAAUAAGCUGUUUUUGAAAAAGAGAUCAUAUUAAGCUGUUUUGCAUACAUAAGUUGUUUUGAAUAAGCUGUUUUUGAAAAUGAGGUCGUAAUAAGCUGUUUUGUAUAAAUAAGCUGUUUUGAAUAAGCUGUUUUUGAAAAAGAGAUCAUAUUAAGCUGUUUUGCAUACAUAAGUUGUUUUGAAUAAGCUGUUUUUGAAAAUGAGGUCGUAAUAAGCUGUUUUGUAUAAAUAAGCUGUUUUGAAUAAGCUGUUUUUGAAAAAGAGAUCAUAUUAAGCUGUUUUGCAUACAUAAGCUGUUUUGAAUAAGCUGUUUUUGAAAAUGAGGUCGUAAUAAGCUGUUUUGUAUAAAUAAGUUGUUUUGAAUAAGCUGUUUUUGAAAAAGAGAUCAUAUUAAGCUGUUUUGCAUACAUAAUUUGUUUUGAAUAAGCUGUUUUUGAAAAAGAGAUCGUAUUAAGCUGUUUUGCAUACAUAAGUUGUUUUGAAUAAGCUGUUUUUGAAAAUGAGGUCGUAAUAAGCUGUUUUGUAUAG
rnacentral:lncRNA from 1 species